GGGGGGGGACAUGGGUUCCCCAAAUUGGAUGAAUUUUAACUUGGCAUUGGCUUUACCCUCAAUCAACUUUAUAAUCUUGAUUUUAAAUAUGGAUAAUUGCAUAGUUUAACUUAUUUUGAUCCCACUGAAUUGCAUUAAAGGAUAAAUGGAUAUGAGUAUGGUUUUGGAUGGCCUUGGUGGCCUUUGUUUUGGAUUUUAAGUGGAACUUAGGAGUCCAAU
rnacentral:lncRNA from 1 species